CGGCGUCGUUCGAACUCGGCAUGAAUUCACGUCGCACUGCCACAAUCCAGGGUCGUCGGUCGGUUGAUCGUGUUGUU
rnacentral:lncRNA from 1 species